AUACAUGAUAUUCCUGAAAGGAGAACACCACCACGAACAAAAAAUACAAUAGAUUAAACCAAACCACAAAUUUGAGCCAAACAAAUACAGAAAUGCUCUAAAACUGCAGAUAAAAUAAAUUAUUAUUAGCCAUAGUGGAUACCCAAAAUCCAUAAAGUAAUGGCAUAACUAUACCUUUUCUAACUAGCAGCGGAGAUCGUGAUUAUUACAGGCCUCUUGACAAGUUUUAUGAAGAUCAUGCACUAGUGCAGUGACUUUGCACGUGAAGAUGUGAACUCCUAAAUAGAGUUGAAAUGAAGAAGGAUUGGAAAUGUAUUGUCAAAACAUGUGCUUCAAGAAAAUCAUUCCACAAAUUGCAACGACAAAAACAAAAGCAACUAUAAAAUCUAAAAAAUUGCAGGAAUUUUACAAACAUGAACAAUUUAAAACCAAAUCACCCAACUAAUACUUCUAGAGAUGAGCAAUCACCAUUUCAAAAGCUUUUUUAUUUAGUUAUCUUAAUAUAAAAAAUACUCUAACAUGAAGUUGGUACUCGAUUUUGUAAGAUAUUGUUAAAUUCUUUGUUUUUCUAAAGAUUGAGAGUCAAGUAAAAGGAUCUCCCCCCCCCACCUCCAAACACGUAUAUGAUGACAAAGUGAUGAUAUACAUGUUAAAUGGUCAUACUUAUAAUAAAUGACAGGCUUAUGGAACUACCAUAAUUUCUAGACAUUAAUCUCAGAGCACUAGAUUACAAGAUGGACAAUUUCUUUCAGAAGACAUGGGAAGAAGUUUCUGAUCCAGUGGCAUUUUUCUAGAAGUUGCAAUAUAACAGUAAAGGCUCAUUUGAAAAUCUAUGCUUGAGACGCUACAUAGAAAUUCCCUAAUCUAGGUAGUUUUUUAGAACGAAAGUUAAGGAACCCUAGAACAAAAGCUUGUUAAGUGCAUUGUUUCCUUGGAUGGCAAUACAAGAGAUAAAUUUGACUAUUGACACUCAUAAAAAAAAAAAAAAAUCCGUCAGUCCAGAAUUUUAAAAUACUCAUCACUCAAUAUUAUAUAGUAGACAAAUAACAAAUGAAUAAGAUUAUAUAUAUAAAAAAAAUAAAAUCACAAUGAAAAACAAACUUACCAACACAAUUACCUUUCGAACUGAAAUGGGCUUGGUGUAUGGGGUUGCGCUAUCCAAGUUUUCGAUAAAGAAAUCCUUACAGACCAAAAACACUCUCUUACUAGUCCCGCAAGAUACGCUUUCAAGCACAUAAUAGCCAAGCACUUAAUAUUUCUAAAGAUUGAGGGUCAAGUAAAAGGAUCCCCCCAACCACACACCUAUGUGAUGACAAAGUAAUGAUAUACAUAUUAAAUGGUCAUACUUCUAAUAAAUGAAGACUUAUGGAACUAACAUAAUUUCUAGACAUGAAUCUCAGAGCACUAGAUUACAAGAUGGACAAUUUCUUUAAGAAGACACAAUAAUUCUAUAUUUUAUGGGAAGAAGUUUCUAAUCCAGUUACAUUUUUCUAGUAGUUGCAAUAUAACAGUAAAGACUCAUUUGAAAAUCUAUGCCAGAGACACUGAAUAGAAAUGCCUUAAUCUUGGUAGUUUUUUAGAGGUAAAGUUAAGAGACCCUAGAACAAAAGCUCGUUAAGUGCAUUGUUUGCUUGGAUAGCAAUAAAGAGAUAAAUUUGACUAUUGACACUCAUAAAAUAGGAAGUAAUCCUUCAGUCCAGAAUUUUAAAAUACUCAUCACUCAAUAUAUUAUAAAGUAAACAAUCAACAAAUGAAUAAGAUGAUAUAUAUAAAAAAUAUUAAUAAAUCACAACAAAAAACAAACUUACCAACACAAUUUACUUUCGAACUGAAAUGGGGUGGGUGUAUGGGGUUGCGCUAUCCAAGUUUGGAUUUCCUAACAGACCAAUCACA
rnacentral:lncRNA from 1 species